rnacentral:rRNA from 1 species
UACGUAGGGGGCAAGCGUUAUCCGGAUUUACUGGGUGUAAAGGGAGCGUAGACGGCGAUGCAAGCCAGAUGUGAAAGCCCGGGGCUCAACCCCGGGACUGCAUUUGGAGCUGUAUAGCUAGAGUGUCGGAGAGGCAGGCGGAAUUCCUAGUGUAGCGGUGAAAUGCGUAGAUAUUAGGAGGAACACCAGUGGCGAAGGCGGCCUGCUGGACGAUGACUGACGUUGAGGCUCGAAAGCGUGGGGAGCAAACAGG